GCCUGCUUGGCUCAGUUGGUAAGAGCACCGGAUUCAGAUGUUGCUCUGCAUCUGGGGUGAUGCGGGUUCGAGUCCGCAGUAGGCA